AACAGGAUUAGAUAGCCUGGUAGUCCACGCCGUAAACGAUGAGUGCUAGGUGUUAGGCCCUUUCCGGGGCUUAGUGCCGCAGCUAACGCAUUAAGCACUCCGCCUGGGGAGUACGACCGCAAGGUUGAAACUCAAAGGAAUUGACGGGGGCCCGCACAAGCGGUGGAGCAUGUGGUUUAAUUCGAAGCAACGCGAAGAACCUUACCAGGUCUUGACAUCCCGAUGCUAUUUCUAGAGAUAGAAAGUUUCUUCGGAACAUCGGUGACAGGUGGUGCAUGGUUGUCGUCAGCUCGUGUCGUGAGAUGUUGGGUUAAGUCCCGCAACAAGCGCAACCCCUAUUGUUAGUUGCCAUCAUUCAGUUGGGCACUCUAGCGAGACUGCCGGUAAUAAACCGGAGGAAGGUGGGGAUGACGUCAAAUCAUCAUGCCCCUUAUGACCUGGGCUACACACGUGCUACAAUGGUUGGUACAACGAGUCGCAAGUCGGUGACGGCAAGCAAAUCUCUUAAAGCCAAUCUCAGCUCGGAUUGUAGGCUGCAACUCGCCUACAUGAAGUCGGAAUCGCUAGUAAUCGCGGAUCAGCACGCCGCGGUGAAUACGUUCCCGGGUCUUGUACACACCG
rnacentral:rRNA from 1 species